UACGUAGGGACCGAGCGUUGUCCGGAUUCAUUGGGCGUAAAGAGCUCGUAGGCGGCUGCUCAAGUCGAAUGUGAAAACUCGAGGCUCAACCUCGAGCCUGCAUUCGAUACUGGGCGGCUAGAGUCUGGUAGGGGGGAUCUGGAAUUCCUGGUGUAGCGGUGGAAUGCGCAGAUAUCAGGAGGAACACCGGUGGCGAAGGCGGUCUCCUGGAGCAUACUUGACGCUGAGGCGCGAAAGCUGGGGGAGCGAACGGG
rnacentral:rRNA from 1 species